AAGUCGUAACAAGGUAACCGUAGGUGAACCUGCGGUUGGAUCAUUAACAAAUUAUUUAGGCCCCUGGCUGCCCCAAAAGGGCGAAGGGGGGAAACCUAAACAUUUGUGUGCACCAUAUCUGUCUUUGGCAGUUCGAGUGUCCUGGGUGCGUAACUGCCUCAGGUACCUACCGAGGCUUACCCUUUUGGGGUUUGCCGGAGUUGGGCUGCCGCCUUUUUGAAAAAACCUUUUGUUCUUUUUUUGUUUUGUCUGAACUUCGUUUGAUCUUUAUGAUUGAAUUUUAAAUACAACUUUUGACAACGGAUCUCUUGGCUCUC
rnacentral:misc_RNA from 1 species